GCCUAGAUAGCUCAGUUGGUAGAGCAGCUCAUUAGUAACGAGCAGGUCGGGGGUUCGAAACCGUCUCUAGGCUCCA
rnacentral:tRNA from 3 species